UUAUUCCCUUGGCAGACGUCCAACCCCUUCCCCAUCAAACCUCCAUUCUUUUUAUUUGCAAGCUCAAAUCUUAGCCUCUAAAAUCUCAAAUAUCAUUCAUAGAUCACAGAUUGAGGUUUGAGUGGCAGUGUAGAAUAAACAAGCAAGGACUUCUAUUUCAUUAAGCGUAUCAGGUGGGCUUACUAACUCAAGAAGUAAAGAUGCAUACUUUAUUAUAUAAAGUUUGAGUGUAUGCAUUUAUUUUCCAAUUAUUGACUUGCCAAUAUUUGAGAUUUGUAUGAUACCAUCUACAUAGAAGAACGAAUUCGGAUCCUGAGCGAGUCAGGAUUUGUGUACACAGAGUUGACAGUUAACCUUUGAGUUAGCUUGUCAUCGCGUUUGAGAAAGAUGCCUACUUCUCAACACUCAGAGUUAUAUGAUGCGUAGAUAUGGUACAUACAUGUUAAUUGUCUGCAGACGUAUAUGAUGUUAUGAUGAUUAUAGAGAAGUUUUACAGUUUUGCAUACACAGGUUAUUUAAAUAAAACUCCUGUGUGAUGUUUAAGAUGGCAAGUUCAAUAUAUAGCUCUAAGAGCAAGCUUUUAAGUUAUUUCGGCAUGACCACUGAGUGCUUUUUGGUACUCAGCCCUGCGUAUGUUUCUAAAUAUGCAGGUUAAGCUAUGAUGCAGAUGGUAGCAAGCAGAGUAAAACCCUCGGUGUAUAUAUAUAUAAUUUAGGCUCGGGAUUUCAUGUCCUCAUACAUGUAAUCCACUUGAGUUAUUUCCGCUGCAACACUUAAUGUACUUUACUUUAUUGAUGUGUUGUAGAGAUUUUAAACCAAUAGCUUCAAAAAUUAUAUCACUUAGACAACUUGUCGUUGUGUUGUUGUAAGUUGUCUACUCGUGAGUUUUAAAAGUGAUUGUAUAUGAUUACCAGACAUUAUGGUAAAGUAUUGCUUAA